GCCUUUUACCUACAAGAAUUUGCAUGUACUGGUUUAAGGAAAGCCCGUCACCGUAAUCACAAAGUGGUCUGGCAAGACUGUUCUGCCUUAAGGUCCUGGUCUGAAAGGAGUAAAAGCAUCAGACUUUAAUAUAUCUACUAGGUAGAAGACUGCUUUGGGUGAAAGCUAUGUUUUUCUGUUCUCAUAACAACAGAACACUCAACAACAUGCAACUUAAGGGAAGAUGGGCUUGUUUGGACUCAGUAUCAUGUCACAGAAGAACUGGCAGCAUAUCAACAUGCUCUCUCUGUGUGUUGUAGCUUGCUAACAUCUCAGCAGACUGAGAAGCAGAGACUUUGGGUAGAGCCAGCACCCUGCAUCCCAUAGGCCUGUCCAAUGCCCACUGUUGGGGCCUCACAGCCUACCAAGGUGGGUACCAGUUCAUUUGGGACUUCAGAUCUUGUGACAAGCUAUCAAGAAAGGAGGCCAGAUGUGCUGCCUAAGCCAUUGAUUUUUAUCCUUGCUAAAUUCAGAACCAAAGAAACAACUUCUUUGGAGAUGAUGUUUUGCCCUCCCAAAUGUGAAGACCUAGCAGUCAUGUUGGUACGUGCUUGCACCCCCAGCAUUUGGGUAGUAGAGUCAAGAAGAUAGGAAGGACUAUUGUUCACGUUGCCAGAGACAGAAAAAGAUACAACAGAAGACGAAGAAGAAAACUGACAAUACUAAUCCUAAAAUCCAAUCCCAAAAUACCUUUAUUUUACU